rnacentral:rRNA from 1 species
ACGGAGGUGGCUAGCGUUACUCGGAAUUAUUGGGUGUAAAGGGCAAGUAGGCGGCUUAAUAAGUGGGGGGUGAAAUACUCUUGCUCAACAAGAGAACUGCCUUCCAAACUGUUAAGCUUGAGUAUGUCAGAGGAAAAUGGAAUUCUCGGUGUAAGGGUGAAAUCUGUAGAUAUCGAGAAGAACACCAGCGGCGAAGGCGAUUUUCUGGGACAUUACUGACGCUAAAUUGCGAAAGCUAGGGGAGCAAACAGAAUUAGAUACUCUGGUAGUCCUAGCCGUAAACGAUGAGCACUAGGUGUCAGCUCCUUUAGGAGUUGGUGCCGCAGCUAACGCAUUAAGUGCUCCACCUGGGGACUACGGUCGCAAGGCUA